UCAUCCGCAAUGGACGAAAGUCUGACGGAGCAACGCCGCGCGAGUGAUGAAGGUUUUCGGAUCGUAAAGCUCUGUUGUUAGGGAAGAANNAGUACCGUUCGAAUAGGGCGGUACCUUGGCGGUACCUAACCAGAAAGCCACGCCUAACUACGUGCCAGCGGCCGCGGUAAUACGUAGGUGGCAAGCGUUGUCCGGAAUGAUUGGGCGUAAAGGGCUCGCAGGCGGUUUCUUAAGUCUGAUGUGAAAGCCCCCGGCUCAACCGGGGAGGGUCAUUGGAAACUGGGGAACUUGAGUGCAGAAGAGGAGAGUGGAAUUCCACGUGUAGCGGUGAAAUGCGUAGAGAUGUGGAGGAACACCAGUGGCGAAGGCGACUCUCUGGUCUGUAACUGACGCUGAGGAGUGAAAGCGUGGGGAGCGAACAG
rnacentral:rRNA from 1 species